rnacentral:tRNA from 1 species
GGACCCCUAGCUCAGUGGUAGAGCGUGAGAUUCCAGUUUAUGCGUGUUUCCUCAAGGUCAUCCGUUCAAUCCGGGUGGGGUUCA